UACGUAGGAGACGAGCGUUGUCCGGAAUCACUGGGCGUAAAGCGCGUGUAGGCGGAUCGGCAAGUCUGCUGUGAAAGCUCCUGGCUUAACCGGGAGUGGUCGGUGGAAACUGCCAGUCUGGAGGACGGUAGAGGUAGGUAGAAUUCCCGGUGUAGUGGUGAAAUGCGUAGAGAUCGGGAGGAAUACCUGUGGCGAAGGCGGCCUACUGGGCCGGACCUGACGCUGAGACGCGAAGGCGUGGGGAGGCGAACGGG
rnacentral:rRNA from 1 species